ensembl:lncRNA
AUGUGGCUCAAUAAACCUGAAUUCAUUUAUGUGUCUGCCUGCAACUUUCUUAGCCUCGAGUUUUCAAAACUUUUAUUCUGUGCAUGUGGUUACCCAUUUAGUGCAUCAAGUGAUCCAAUGAAUGUCACCCAAAAACGAAAAUUUGCUGAAAUUGUACUCAUCCAUGGUGUAGAUGUGUUUGUUUCUUCAUCAGAUUUGGAGAAAUGUAGCAUUACAGCUCUUGCUCAUCAACGAAAUAUUAUGGAUAGAGCUAUCAUAUUUUCGUCAGAGGCAGUUAAAAAUGUCUUGAUGAAAUUUGUUUCUUACAAACCUGCAACUUUUCUCUUCACAAGACAUUAAUUGAUGGACUGGAGUGGAUUACUUGGAUUAUUGUGUUUUUUAUCAUUCAGACCAUCAUUCUGACGGCACCCAUUCACUGCAGAGUGAGUGAGCUAAAUUUCUCCGAAUCCAUUCCGAUGAAGAAACAAAUUUUAGUUUGAACUGUUUCAACACCGAGUAAAAUUAGAAAACUGAGUUCACUUGUGAUUAUUUUUGUAAGGUGUUGUGUACAGUUGUUGUUGUAAGUUUAUACACCCCUUGCAGAACCUGCCACAUGCUUCUAAUUGUUUCUAAUACAAAUUAAAUUACUUCACACUACCACAAAUAAGCUAUUUCACAACACAGCUAUGGAGUCCACAAGACAAAAUAAUAACAGAAUUUAAACAAUGAAGUAGUUAAAAACCUGGAUUACGGUGAGCAGUUAUAAUGGCCAUUGCUCUUCAGGAAAAUCCUCCUGGUCCCAUUUCCAUUGUUUUUCCAGCAUCUUCUGCAUAUUUGAUCCCUUUCAAACAAGGAUUAUAAAUAACUGAAAUCAGGUUUUUCACACAGUUGUGAGACUCAGUUAUUCGGUUAUUUAUCCUUGUGUACAAUAUUCAAACAUCUGUUAUGUGAAAUAGGUUAUUUAAGGCAGUACCCCCCCCCCCCCCCUCUAUUUUAAUUAUUUCUGUUUCUGCAAGGGUUAUGUAAACUUACUUCCCACAACUGUUCACUGAAGUUGGAGCAACAAGCAGCAAGUUUGUCGGUUUUCAUUACAGAUUUUGCACAGCAUAACUGAACAUGAUUACCUUACUGAAUUUAUAAAACCUAAAAUGCAACAGAUCUUAAUGAACAAUUUCUCUUAUUGGUCUAGAACGUAUUAUUGACCACAAAAUUUAUUUAUAGUGUCCAUGGUGUCAAAGCUCUCAACAGCUCAAUGGAACAUAUAAUAUUAAAACUGUGUGUAAUCUGCAGCCCUAGCACCAAACUAAAAAAAAAGAAAUUAAUAAAAUAAUGAGCCAUCAACCUACA